CCCCAGAACUCAUUAGAAGGGCAGAUUCUUGGCCACCUCCCCUGAUCUACUGAAUCAGACCCUCUGGGGGUGGAGCCCAGCAAUCUGCAUUUUAAC
rnacentral:miRNA from 1 species